AUACGUAGGGAGCGAGCGUUGUCCGGAAUUACUGGGUGUAAAGGGAGCGUAGGCGGGAGUGCAAGUCAGAUGUGAAAUACAUGGGCUCAACCCAUGGGCUGCAUUUGAAACUGCAUUUCUUGAGUGAAGUAGAGGUAAGCGGAAUUCCUGGUGUAGCGGUGAAAUGCGUAGAGAUCGGGAGGAACACCAGUGGCGAAGGCGGGUAACUGGACUGCAACUGACGCUGAGGCGCGAAAGUGUGGGGAGCAAACAGGAUUAGAUACCCUGGUAGUCCACACUGUAAACGAUGAAUGCUAGGUGUAAGAGGUAUCGACCCCUUUUGUGCCGGAGUUAACACAAUAAGCAUUCCGCCUGGGGAGUACGGCCGCAAGGUUGAAACUCAAAGGAAUUGACGGGG
rnacentral:rRNA from 1 species